CCUACGUGCGGCAGCAGUGAGGAAUAUUGGUCAAUGGGCUUACGCCUGAACCAGCCAAGUCGCGUGAGGGAAGACUGCCCUAUGGGUUGUAAACCUCUUUUGUCAGGGAGCAACGCCGGCUACGUGUAGCCGGACUGAGAGUACCUGAAGAAAAAGCAUCGGCUAACUCCGUGCCAGCAGCCGCGGUAAUCCGGAGGAUGCGAGCGUUAUCCGGUUUUAUUGGGUUUAAAGGGUGCGUAGGCGGAAUGCCAAGUCAGCGGUAAAAUCGCGGGGCUCAACCUCGCUCCGCCGUUGACACUGGCGUUCUUGAGUGGGCGGGAAGUAUGCGGAAUGCGUGGUGUAGCGGUGAAAUGCAUAGAUAUCACGCAGAACUCCGAUUGCGAAGGCAGCAUACCGGCGCCCAACUGACGCUGAAGCACGAAAGCGUGGGUAUCGAACAGGAUUAGAUACCCGAGUAGUC
rnacentral:rRNA from 1 species